UACGUAGGGGCCGAGCGUUGUCCGGAGUUAUUGGGCGUAAAGAGCGCGCAGGCGGUCGUUCAAGUCGAGUGUGAAAGCCCCCCGGCUCAACCGGGGGAGGGUCGUCGGGGACCGCACCGCUUGAGGGCGGUAGGGGCUGGUGGAAUGCCUGGUGUAGUGGUGAAAUGCGUAGAGAUCAGGCGGAACACCUGUGGCGAAGGCGGCCAGCUGGGCCGUCCCUGACGCUGAGGCGCGAAGGCGUGGGGAGCGAACGGG
rnacentral:rRNA from 1 species